rnacentral:snRNA from 1 species
GGAUGCCAGGCAGAUUUGGCUGUGAUAGCUGUCACACCACUGAUGGCUGAGGUUGCUUAGGCUGAUCUGGCUGGCCAGGCAGGAGUCCCUUCCUCCCUCACCACUCCGUGUGCAACAACCACCCCAGAUAGAGGAGGACCAUUGUCUGGGUCGAGGGUAUACGAGUAGCUGCCCUCCCUUGCUAGAACCUCCAAACAAGCUCUCAAAGAAGGAAUCAACUGGACUGAUUCCUUAAUGACAUUUGGGCAAAACAGAGAAAACUAAUUUGGACACCAAGCCAAGCAAAGGAAGAGUCCUGUGCAUUUGCU